CCUUCCCCCUCCUCCCGGGCGGCCGAGGAUGGCUGCGGGCGCCGGGGCCGGGCGGGGAGGGGGCUGCUCGGCUCCGCUCCGCUCCGCCACGGGGACUCCCUCUUCGCGAGGGUGGGGAAAGGAAACGACGAGCUCCCUCACAGACUUCCACGCUUGAGCUUCCCGUACUUGACCUUAAUUUCAAGGAGAGCUGUCGUCGUUUUCCUCCGGACCAAAGGGAAAACGGGAGCAGGGCUCUGCUCAAACGGUUCCAGAAGCGAUUAAAGAUUCGAUGUGUC